UACGGAGGGUGCAAGCAUUAAUCGGAUUUAUUGGGCGUAAAGGGCGCGUAGGCGGGAAUGUAAGUCAGAUGUGAAAUCCCGGGGCUCAACCCCGGAACAGCAUUUGAAACUGCAUACCUAGAGGGUAGUCGGAGAAAACAGAAUUCCACAAGUAGCGGUGAAAUGCGUAGAGAUGUGGUAGAAUACCGGUGGCGAAGGCGGUUUUCUAGAUUAUACCUGACGAUGAGGCGCGAAAGAAAGGGGAUCAAACAGG
rnacentral:rRNA from 1 species